UACGUAGGCAGCAAGCGUUGUUCGGAGUUACUGGGCGUAAAGGGUGUGUAGGCGGUUGGAUAAGUGUGGUGUGAAAUCUCCCGGCUUAACUGGGAGGGUGCGCUACAAACUGUCUGACUAGAGUGUGGUAGGGGAGACUGGAAUUCCUGGUGUAGCGGUGAAAUGCGUAGAGAUCCGGAGGAACACCGAAAGCGAAGGCAGGGUCCUGGCUGGUACCUGACGCUCGUGGGCGAAAGCUAGGGGAGCGAACGGG
rnacentral:rRNA from 1 species